UUAAUUGAAACCAAAUUUGAGGUAUAUUAUUGUUAAUAAUUUCAAUGAAUUAAAUAAUUCCAAUUAAA
rnacentral:tRNA from 1 species